AAGUCAGAAGUUAAAGCCCUCGGCUCAACCGAGGUAAGCUUUUGAAACUGAUUGGCUUGAGCGCAGGAGAGGAGAGCGGAAUUCCUAGUGUAGCGGUGAAAUGCGUAGAUAUUAGGAAGAACACCAGUGGCGAAGGCGGCUCUCUGGACUGUAGCUGACGCUGAGGCACGAAAGCGUGGGGAGCGAACAGGAUUAGAUACCCUGGUAGUCCACGCCGUAAACGAUGAGUGCUAGGUGUCGGGGUCGACAGGCUUCGGUGCCGGAGUUAACACAUUAAGCACUCCGCCUGGGGAGUACGGUCGCAAGACUGAAACUCAAAGGAAUUGACGGGGGCCCGCACAAGCAGCGGAGCAUGUGGUUUAAUUCGAAGCAACGCGAAGAACCUUACCAGGGCUUGACAUCCCUUGGAAUAUACUAGAGAUAGUAUAGCCCUUCGGGGCCAAGGUGACAGGUGGUGCAUGGUUGUCGUCAGCUCGUGUCGUGAGAUGUUGGGUUAAGUCCCGCAACGAGCGCAACCCUUGCCUUUAGUUUGCAGCAGGUUAAGCUGGGCACUCUAGAGGGACUGCCGGUGACAAACCGGAGGAAGGUGGGGAUGACGUCAAAUCAUCAUGCCCCUUAUGUCCUGGGCUACACACGUGCUACAAUGGCCGGUACAACGGGCAGCCAACCCGCGAGGGGGAGCUAAUCCCAUAAAGCCGGUCCCAGUUCGGAUUGUAGGCUGCAACUCGCCUACAUGAAG
rnacentral:rRNA from 1 species